GACGAACGCUGGCGGCGCGCCUAACACAUGCAAGUCGAACGGUGAAGAGGAUCUUGCUCCGCGGACCAGUGGCGGACGGGUGAGUAACACGUGAGCAACCUGGCUCUAAGAGGGGGACAACAGUUGGAAACGACUGCUAAUACCGCAUGACGUAUCGUGAUGGCAUCUUCCUGAUACCAAAGAUGUUAUGGCUUGGAGAUGGGCCUGCGUCUGAUUAUGGAGUUGGCGGGGUAAAGGACCGCCAAGUCGAGGAGCAGUCGUCGGACUGAGAGGGGCAACGGUCACAUUGGGACUGGGCCACGACUCAGACUCGUACGGGCGGUGGGGGUGGGGGCAAUUGGAGAAUGGGCGUGAUGCUGCUCCACCGACGGCGGGUGAAGGACGAAGGUGUUGGGAUUGUCAUUCUCUGUUGACGAAGCAAAAUAUGACGGUAGCCGUUUAGAAAGCAACGGCUAACUACGUG
rnacentral:rRNA from 1 species